rnacentral:lncRNA from 1 species
UGUGGGGGGGUUAUUAAGUAUAAAGUUAUUUACUGUGUGUUUUUGUGUGUGUGUGUUGCAGGUUAAGGAUGGCCCGGAUGAAUGAGGAAAUGAGGGACUCUGAGGGUUUUUUUGGAUCUGUAGGAGACGACGAAACAUUCCAGGAUAUUUUCCGUGAUUUCAGUGACAUGGCAUCACAUAACCCUGAGCGUCUGUCUCGCCGGCAGUUCAGCCGCAGUGCUGAGGAAGGAGAGGAGGAGGAUGGGGUGGAUGGAGCAGCUGGUGGGACGGAAGAUGAAAAGACGUAGUGGAAUAGCAGUGGAGGAGCCGUGGAGGAGCCUGUGGAGUUUGGAGUGGAGAUUGCUGGUCUGGGGUCGGGUGGGGGUUUAAGUUUAGCGUCAGUGUUGGGCAUUUUGGUGCUAAAAGCUGCAGAGCUGUUGACUGAACUGCAUUUGCAAAGGGAGCAUCUCUAUUUAGUUUUUAGGAGCAGCAUUUUUAUUAGCAUUUAAUAGUAACAGAUACAUUAUACAUAGAAGUUUAAUGAUUAAGUAAUUAAAUCUAUUGUGUCUUUAAACUAAUGCACUGUUAAAGCCAAUUUAUACUUUUGUGUCUAACAUACGCUGUAGCGUAUGUGUAAUGGCAAAUCAUACACUGUAAUUCUUUUUCAAAAGUGAAGACUAGCGGUGUGAAGGUGAUUUUAGUUGUAGAGCAGCCGAGUGCUCAGGGUGCCCAACACUGUCCUAGUUAAGGUUUGGGGGUUUAUGGGUAAUGAGAUCAGUCAGAUUGACAGUUUAAGGGAAAACUAUUAAUUGGAGUAGAUUGAAGCUCCUCCCCGUUACAUUCCAGUCCAGCUGAUCUGAGCUCUGAAAGGUCAUAUAAUACAUUUCAUAACAGUUCUGUGAAUAGAUUUAUAUUUAUUAAUAUUUAAAGUUUUAACUGCAUUUCAAAUAUUGAAUUUAGCUGUCAGAGAAUAACUGAACUGAGCUGAAAUAUUAAUCAGGUAUUAACACAACAUUAAUUAUUAAUGAUAAUUAUUAAUAACCUUACACUGCUUUAAAAAAUAGCUCAAUCAAUCAUAUUCUGAAUCAAAUUAACAUAUAAACUAUAUAGUUGUAGAUAUUACCUUUGUGGUUUAAUAUUUUUGUAAUAUUAGCUUAAAGUCGAUUAUGCAAGAUAUCAAACACAAAAAAAAAAUUAUAAUGAUGAAACUGGCACUCAUUAGGAUCGCCCCAGCAAAGUAAGAGAAAAAGUUCCCUCUGUUCCAUAGGAUAUGUUCAUCAGAGUUACCAGUCUCAGAAACCACGAGUUAACAGCUCCACAGAUAAGAGCACCUAAAUGCUUUACAGAGUAUUUAGUAUUUUGGUUUGUUUAACACUUUUAAGUUACUACAUGAUUCCUUAUGUGUUCCUUCAUAGAUCACUUCACUAUUCAUUUACUAUGUAGGAAAAAAUAUUGUCCAAACUUAUAUGAUACAAGCUCCUAACUAUGAACCAGAACCAAUUUAAAACAAGAAAUGUCUAAAAAUUGUGAUUUGCCUCACAUAUUAAAGACUUUCGAAUAAAUACAUAGAAAAAUGUAAGAACA